UCCUCGCUUUCGACACAACACUAAUCUUAGAAAUAAAAAUAGAGUUUUACUAGAAUAAGGUGUUUUGCUUCUUGUAUUAUUUUCCUUUGAUAAUUACGUAUACUUUGGAUUUUAAAUUUUAUGAAAAGUCAUGCUAGAAUCAUGGUUUCUUAUGUUCGUACCUAGUUUAUUAGCUAAAUAUUUGCUUGUAGGGUGUUCAAAUUGUGAAAUCCUUUUAUGUGUGAGCUAGGGUUAUAGUAUAUGCAUAUGAAAACACAUGAAGUUAUAUGUUAAUUAAGUAUGUGGUUUGGUUAAUAUUAAGGAUUUGAGAUGAUAAUUAUGGUUUUAUAUAAGAAAUAGCAUAUAGAGUCAAGGGUUGAAAUCCCCUGUUUCGGCCAGAAUUUUUGUUCAAAUUGUUGAUAGCGUCUCCUAUAGUUUACAUGAAUGAAUAUCGAUUUUGAAAUUUUCUGUGCGUACUAUAGUGUUUCUAGUGUUCGAAUGUUAAUUUUCAGAUUUUUGCGCGAUGAAUUAGUAUUUUAAACAAAUGGUGGAAAAUUGUUGCGAAAACUGUGAAAAAUGCCCUGUUUCGGCAGUGGAUUUCACUUAAUGAUUCGAUACGUUUUAAGGGUGAUUUUGAUUUAACAUUUUUACUGAAUCAACUUGAUUAUGUUUGUAUCCUUCAUGUAAAAUUUCAUAGCUAUUGGAGUUCUUUUUAUCUGUUUAAUCUUAGAUUUAAAAAUGUUGGUCAAAAUCGAACAGUUUUGUUAAGUUAUGGUACAAGGUGUAUUACUCUCUGUUAAUUUGGCAUUUUUGAGCCCCAAUUUAUUUUUAAUGAAACUAGACAUUCAUAUGUUUCUAGAAAUAUAUGGUUUAUAUUUUUAUCCAUUUUAUACAAUAAUUUACAAAUUUUCCAAAUAAGUUAGUUUACAGUGAUGUUUUAUUGGACAGUUAUUUUAGUUAAUGUUUCACAAAUUAUUUGAAAGGUCAUAUAUAGUUAUAUUAAUCUGAAACUUUUCUCAUAUUAAGUAUAACGUUUUGUGGUAUUGUGUUUCGCAUUUCAGCUGUAUUUGAUGAGAUUUAAUAUUUUUCAAGUAAUUUCUAAUUAUAUGGUCUGAAACUGUUUAUUUUUGGUAGAUCAUACUAAAUUGUACACAUAUCAUAAUCUAGUAAUUAUUUUAGUUCAUAGUUUCUUCUACAAUACAAUAGACAUCUAGAGGUUUUCAAAACCAUAUGUUAUAUUCUCUGAUUCAUUUUCAAUGAAUUGAUAAUAUAUUUUUGAAUUUGAGGGAAAUGUAGAAGAUAUUGUGUACUAUUGCAUAUAUAAAGUUUUUGAAGUAUGGUUUAGUUUUCUAAGGUGAAUAUGCGCAAAACGUGAAUGUGAUUUGACUUAUUAGUAUAUGCUUUAGUGGUUUAAAGUUUGACUAUGUGCUUUGCAUAUUCAUGAUAUACUAAAACUUUAUAUUUAUUAAUUUGGUGUUGCGAAUCUAGGAUUAAAGUAUGGACUUAUGAUGAAGGAUACAUUAUACAAGAGAUGAGUUUCACAGACUUAGUUCGUCUUUACUAAACCUAAGGUUUAUAUUGUAGGCCCAACUGAAGAGGAUACCUAAGUGGGGACCACUAUAGCAAGAUCAAGACCAACUUGUAUAUCAGGUGUGUUUAUGUUCAAAUGUACUUUUUGAAUUAUUAAGCUCUGAUAUUUAUGAAAGCAAAAUGUGAAUGUUCAUGCUUCAAUGUUUUACUCUCUAUUGGGUAUGUGCUAUUAACUGGCAUGAAGUUGGCUUUGCCAAUUAACAAGGAGUUAACGAUCGUGCUCUGAGCUAGUACUAGCCAGAGUGUAGUGCGCACGGAAGUCAGAACUGGGUAGAACUUGGCCAGGUUCCUCAGUUCUGAUGAAGGGAAUCGUAUGUGGAAG
rnacentral:lncRNA from 1 species